AUCAAAGGUAACAUCUGCGGGAUUUGCUCUCGCAUCGGCGAGAAGACCUCAGUCGAGAGCCAUUCCACCAUUUGCUUUUGUACAGUGCGAAGAAUGCCCUAAGCGAAGACCUUUGGGUUUCUCCUACCAAAACUUCUCUGGUUGCUGUCAGUUGCAUCCGUCUGCUGUUCAGUUGAGAGCCUUCCUCUAUUGCUAUUUGAAACCCUUCAUUGGGUAUUCGCGAUGGGUCUCAGCAAGACUGAAAUCGAUUUGAUAAGAUUGUUGGAAGCUGCUUCUAGACAACAGAAUCAAACAAAGCUCGUACAUGGAUUCGACAAUGCUGCAGGGAUUCGACGAUGCCAGUAAAGUUGGAUGCAGGAGCACUGACUAGCAUUGAGAAAAUUAGGUGUAUCAUGUGCUUGUUUAUACAUAUGUUGUGUUUUGGUUUCUGCUAUCUUGAGUGAUAAAUUUCAUUGUGGCAAUGCAUGCAUGCUAGUGAGAACUAUACAUCUUGAGUGAAAAUUAAAUUUGGCCUUCAAUUUAUCCUUUUGUGAUAUUAUGGAGAACAUGAUUACCUUAUCAAAAAUUGUCUGUUGAGCAAAUAUUACUUUUUGAUGAGUGCUGUAUAUAAUUUAUACCUCAACAACUGUAGUCUUUGAUAAGAGUGGGAAGGUGCGUCUAUGUUUCGGUUUUUCUGUAGGAAAAUUUGAACUUCUUGGUAAAUUUCCUGGUUGUCAGUAGAUGAUGGUACAGAGUAGGCUCGUGUUUUCCUAGUGUCAUUUUGUUGCCAGGGGCCCAUUCACUUGUUUUGACUACCUUUUCCAGUCACUUAACAGCCAGAUUUAAAAUUGAUAUUUUUGUCUAAUAAUAGAAAAUUUAUUUUGAACCUUUUGUUGUCAUUUUCUCAUAGAACAGAAAGCUUCAAGAAGAUUUGACAGACGAUAUGGUUGGCUUAGCACGACAGCUGAAGGAAAGCAGUCUCUUAAUGGUCCAAUCUUUGCAAGACACGGAGAAGAGCUUUCUACAGUGGAUAACCCCUGAAGUUUUCAAUUUUAGGUACUGUAAUCAUUCAUUUCGAUUUUUCGGUCGGUCCCUACUGGAAUAUCGAUCUGCAUGUUGGUAAAUACCGGUCGAUACAGUGAAAUUGAAUUGGUUGCUACCUAUAUAAUUUGAUACACUGUUUUCUUACCAUUAAAAUUUUCUUAUUUUUAUAACAUAAUUUGAUGGCAUGACAUUUAUUGUCAUUUCCAAAUGGUAACGCUUUCUGUGACCUCGGUAUCUGCAUCUUUGUCAGCAAUUCCUUUUUGUCUAAAUUUCGUAUGAGAUCUUA